UACGGGGGGGGCAAGCGUUGUUCGGAAUUACUGGGCGUAAAGGGCUCGUAGGCGGCCAACUAAGUCAGACGUGAAAUCCCUCGGCUUAACCGGGGAACUGCGUCUGAUACUGGAUGGCUUGAGUUUGGGAGAGGGAUGCGGAAUUCCAGGUGUAGCGGUGAAAUGCGUAGAUAUCUGGAGGAACACCGGUGGCGAAGGCGGCAUCCUGGACCAACACUGACGCUGAGUGAGCGAAAGCCAGGGAAGCAAACGGG
rnacentral:rRNA from 1 species